GCUGGGUGCAGUGGCACACGCCUGUAAUCCCAGGGGCUCAGGAGGCUGAGGCAGGAGGAUCCCAAAUGCAGAGCCAACCUCAGCAAUUUAGCGAGGCUCUGUGCAACUUAGUGAUACCCUGUCUCAA
rnacentral:sRNA from 1 species